CAAAGCCUGGAAUGUGCGAUCACCUGUUAUUUUCUGAACCUACACUUGACAUAAGGGAACCCUACAUCACCGAUCUCAAUGUCAGGCCCCAUCAACGUACAGGGGAAGGCAGCGAAUCGGGUGCGGAUACCCACCUGGCUUUGGCUAGGUGUCAGUCUCACAGGAACGGCAUUCCGGGAUUGAA
rnacentral:other from 1 species